GCAUAUCAAUAAGCGGAGGAAAAGAAACUAACAAGGAUUCCCCUAGUAACUGCGAGUGAAGCGGGAAAAGCUCAAAUUUAAAAUCUGGCGGUCUUCGGCCGUCCGAGUUGUAAUCUGGAGAAGCGUCUUCCGCGCUGGACCGUGUACAAGUCUCUUGGAACAGAGCGUCGCAGAGGGUGAGAAUCCCGUCUUUGACACGGACUACCAGUGCUAUGUGAUGCGCUCUCGACGAGUCGAGUUGUUUGGGAAUGCAGCUCAAAAUGGGUGGUAAAUUCCAUCUAAAGCUAAAUAUUGGCGAGAGACCGAUAGCGAACAAGUACCGUGAGGGAAAGAUGAAAAGCACUUUGGAAAGAGAGUUAAACAGUACGUGAAAUUGCUGAAAGGGAAACGAUUGAAGUCAGUCGCGUGUGCUAGAACUCAGCCUUGCUUUUGCUUGGUGCAUUUUCUAGUGUACGGGCCAGCAUCAGUUUCGGUCGCCGGAAAAAGGCCUUGGGAAUGUGGCACCUUCGGGUGUGUUAUAGCCCUCGGUUGUAUACGGUGGCUGGGACUGAGGAACAUAGCACGCCUUUACGGCGGGGCUUCGGCCACCUUCGUGCUUUGGAUGCUGGCGUAAUGGCUUUAAACGACCCGUCUUGAAACACGGACC
rnacentral:rRNA from 1 species